rnacentral:pre_miRNA from 1 species
AGCCUUCUGUAUCUGUGCUGAGAUUUAGUCACACACCAGAACACAAGAGCUGAUGUGACUCCCUAGAUAACUGAAGCG